CCGGCUAGCCAGUCAUCACGGGGCCACUAACCAAAUAGUAUAGGAGACUCUCAACUUCAUACAAGAGAAACGUCACCGCUCAAUGUGCGUCUCGGAGUCCCAGGCCUCUGCCAAAGUCCCAGCUACAAGUAUUAGUGCGUGUAAAACACUCAGCUAGAAGCACCAGCUACAUGUGUAUUAGGGCGUGUAGAGCACGUAGGUAGGAGCCCCAGCUACAUUUGUAUAAGUUCGUGUAGUCAAUGAUUUUUUAGCGCUCCAAACCGGUUUUGUCUUGAUUCACAUGGACACUGCAAGUAAUGUAUGUGUUGGUACGCUGACUUUGUGAAAUGCGCUG
rnacentral:lncRNA from 1 species